AAGGGACGGGCGAUUCCACUUGCGGGAAUAGGGGAGCCCGGUGACGUCACGAGGCCACGCCCACCUGGCGAACUCACCAGCCGAGGAUAACGCCGCUCUGCCGCUUCCGCCCUCGCCGGCCCAAGACUGGAUCGAACGCUCGCCAGGUGUCACGUGACCCUCCCGCCCGGCCAAUCGGGAGGCGAGGCGGCCCUUUGCAAAGUCACCGCCCCCGUCGCCCCGGCAACCGCGCCGCGCUCGCUUCCGCCUGGCCGCGUUGACAGCUCGCCCUUAAAGGGGCCGCGCUCCCUUUUUGAAGAAGCCAAGCCAAACAAAGAUUGGGGAUGAUGGGUGUGAGAAUGCUGCAGGAAUGAGGAGGGGGAUGCUGAUCUGCCUCCGAAGGCAAUGCUUCAGGAACCGCAGGCACUGAUUCUUCCUUUGCUGCAAGUGAUGCUUGGCUUUUCUGCCGUGGUGAUGAUGAGGAUGAUGGGGAUGAUGAUGAUGGCGGCGACGGCGGCGACGAUGGGGUUCUUCUGCAAAGGAGGAUAGAGCCCUUCAUAUGUGCUUGGACUACAACUCCCAGCACCCACUUUCCAGCAUAAGCAACGGGGAUCUAUAAACCUCUCCAUAUGUUCUAGUACUGCAACUCCCAGCAUCCCGAGCCAGCAAAGCCAAUGGGAACCAAUAGCUCCCCUUAUGUUCUUGGACAGCAACUCCCAUCAGCCACUAGCCAGUACAGCCAAAGGGAAUUUACAGAAUUCUCCAUAUGUGCUUGGACUGCAACUCCCAGCAUCCCCUUUCCAACAUAACCAAUGGGAAUUAAUGGAACUCUCCAUAAGUUCUAGUACUGCAACUCCCAGCAUCCCCUUUCCAACAUAACCAAUGGGAAUUAAUGGAACUCUCCAUAAGUUCUAGUACUGCAGCUCCCAGCAUCCCCUUUCCAACAUAACCAAUGGGAAUUAAUGGCACUCUCCAUACGUUCUAGUACUGCAGCUCCCAGCACCCCCUAACCAGCAUAGCUAACAGGAACCAAUUGCUCUCCAUAUGUUAGUGGACUGCAAUUCCCAGCAUCCCCUUUCCAACAUAACCAAUGAGAAUUGAUUGAACUUUCCAUAAGUUCUAGUACUGCAGCUCCCAGAAUCCCCUAACUAGCAUAACUAAUAGGAACCAAUUGCUCUCCAUAUCUUAGUGGAUUGCAACUCCCAGCAUCCCCUUUCCAACAUAACCAAUGGGAAUUAAUUGAACUCUCCAUAAGUUCUAGUACUGCAGCUCCCAGCAUCUCCUAACCAGCAUAGCUAAUAGGAACCAAUUGGUUUCCAUAUCUUAGUGAACUGUAACUCCCAGCAUCCCCUUUCCAACAUAACCAAUGGGAAUCAAUUAAACUCUCCAUACGUUCUAGUACUGCAGCUCCCAGCACCCCCUAACCAGCAUAGCUAACAGGAACCAAUUGCUCUCCAUAUCUUAGUGGACUGCAACUCCCAGCAUCCCUAAGCCAGCUCUCUUUAUGUUCUUGGACUUUAAACCCCAGCAUCCCCUUUCCAGUAUAACCAAUGGGAAUUAAUGUAACUCUCCAUAUGUUCUAGUACUGCAACUCCCAGCAUCCCCUAACCAGCAUAGUCAAUGGAAACCAAUUACUCUCCCUAUGUUCUUGGACUGCAACUCCCAUCAGCCCUUAGCCAGCAAAGCGAAUGGGAACCAAUAGCUCUCCAUUAUUAUAUGUGGUGCGACUGCAGCUCCCAUCAGCCCACAACUAACCAAGCCAAUUGUGAGUAAUGUCGCGACUUUAACCCUGUAGGGUUACAUUGAUUUCCCUGCAAGGAAUUGCACUGCACCUCCCAGCAUCCCCUAGGCAGCAUAGCUAGCAGGAACCAGUAAAAGGUACCAGCUGUGCUUGGACUGUAACUCCCAGCAUCCCCAGUUGGGAACCACUAGAGCUCCCAGUCAAGGGAAACAGAAGGGUCCCUCUCCAUUGACAUUGACCCAUUGCACCCCAAAGCGUCUCCUUACCUGUCAUGAAGAAGAAGCCAAAAUGAUCGCAAGGACAAUGGUGCUUGUGUCUUUUCGGGGCGUCCAUGCCUGGAAAAGGGAUGGUGGGUGAGCCGGUUAUGCAUGGGUGCAAAAUUAUUAUUAUUAUUAUUAUUAUUAUUAUUAUUAUUAUUAUUAUUAUUAUGACACAGCAAACAAGAUAGACAUGCUGGAUUUCGUAUCACAAAAUCACAAGUCGAACACUUCCCAAGUGUCUAGGACUGUGUGAUGUAUUAUUAUUAUUAUUAUUAUUAUUAUUAUUAUUAUUAUUAUUAUUAUUAUUAUUAUUAUGACACAGCAAACAAGAUAGAUAUGCUGGAUUUCGUAUCACAAAAUCCCAAGUCGAACACUUCCCAAGUGGUCCAAAGCCACAAUGGGGAAAGGGCUCACCUGGGCAUGGGCAGAGUUCUGUCCCACCUGGGCUGCGUUUUGACCUGCUCAGUUCUGCCUUUGGGAGGACAAGGCCUUCUCCUCCAUCCGACACUGAAAGAAAGAAAGAAAGAAAGAAAGAAAGAAAGAAAGAAAGAAAGAAAGAAAGAAAGAAAGAGAGAGAUGGAGAUAGAGAUAGAUAGAGAGAGAGAAAAAAGGAAGGAAAGAAGGAUGAAAGAAUAGGAAAGAGAAAGAAGGAAGGAAGCAAAAAGAGAGAGAGAGGAAAAGAAAGGGAAAGAAGGAAGGAAGAAGAAAGGGGAAAGAAAGAGAAAGAGAAAGAAGGAAGGAGAAAGAGAGAGGAAGGAAGGAAGGAAGGAAGGAAGGAAGGAAGGAAGGAAGGAAGGAAGGAAGGAAGAAGAUAGAUGGAAACAAAGAAAGGGAAAGAGAGAGGGGGAGAGGGAAGGAAGGAAAAAGAAAUAAAUCCAAGAAGGAAGGAAAAAUAGAGGGAAAGAAAGAAAGAAAGAAAGAAAGAAAGAAAGAAAGAAAGAAAGAAAGAAAGAAAGAAAGAAAGAAAGAAAGAAAGAAAGAAAGAAAGGAGAAAUCCAAGAAGGAAGGAAAGAGAAAUAGAGGAAAAGAAAGAAAGGAAGGAAGGAAGGAAGGAAGGAAGGAAGGAAGGAAGGAAGGAAGGAAGGAAGGAAGGAAGAGAUAGAGAUGAGAGAGAGAGAGAGAGAGAGAGAGAGAGAGAGAGAGAGAGAGAGAGAGAGAGAGAGAGAGAGCGGGGGAAAGGAAGGAUGAAAGAAAAGGAAAGAGAAAGAAGGAAGGAAAAAGAAAGAGAGAGGAAAAGAAAGGGAAGGAAGGAAGGAAGGAAGGAAGGAAGGAAGGAAGGAAGGAAGGAAGGAAGGAAGGAAGGAAGGAGGGAAGGAAGGAAGGAAGGAAGAAAAUAGAUGGAAAAAAAAAAAGGGAAAGAGAGAGGAAGAGGGAAGAAAGGAAGAAGAAAGAGAUAGAGAGAAGGAAGGAUGAAAGAAAGAGAAAGAAGGAAGGAAGAAGAAAGGAGAAAGAAAGAAAGAGAUAGAGAUAGAGAUGAGAGAGAGAAGGAAGGAAGGAAGGAAGAAAGAAAAAGAAAGAGAGUGAGGAAAAGAAAGGGAAAGAAGGAAGGAAG